GAUCCUGGUGAUGACAGACGAAUUGUCAGUCAAUCCCCAUGUGGUAUAGGACAUGUCCUGCAGUUCUGAAGGGAUU
rnacentral:snoRNA from 1 species